UACGUAGGGGGCAAGCGUUGUCCGGAAUUAUUGGGCGUAAAGAGCGCGUAGGCGGUCCGGUAAGUCGGUUGUGAAAGUCGGGGGCUCAACCCUCGGAUGCCGAUCGAUACUGUCGGGCUAGAGUCCGGAAGAGGCGAGUGGAAUUCCUGGUGUAGCGGUGAAAUGCGCAGAUAUCGGGAAGAACACCGGUGGCGAAGGCGGGUCUCUGGGCCACUACUGACGCUGAGGAGCGAAAGCGUGGGGAGCGAACAGG
rnacentral:rRNA from 1 species